rnacentral:rRNA from 1 species
CCUACGGGUGGCAGCAGUGAGGAAUAUUGGUCAAUGGCCGGAAGUCUGAACCAGCCAAGCAGCGUGAAGGACGACGGUCCCAUGGAUUGUAAACUUCUUUUGUGCAGGGACAAACUCAGGCUCGUGUGCCUGAUUGCGGGUACCGCAUGAAUAAGGACCGGCUAAUUCCGUGCCAGCAGCCGCGGUAAUACGGAAGGUCCGGGCGUUAUCCGGAUUUAUUGGGUUUAAAGGGGGCGUUGGCCGGCCGUUAAGCGUGCGGGGAAAGGCCGGGGCUCAACCCCGGCGCUGCGGCGGGACCUGGCGGGCUGGAGAGGGCGGGAGGUAGGCGGAAUGCGCGGUGUAGCGGUGAAAUGCUUAGAUAUUGCGCAGAACUCCGAUUGCGAAGGCAGCAUACCGUAGGGGAUCUGACGCUGAGGCACGAAGGCGUGGGUAUCGAACAGGAUUAGAUACCCGAGUAGUC